rnacentral:rRNA from 1 species
UAGCAAGUCGACCAAAGGCGAAAGCAGUCAUCAAGGGCACGCCCGUUGAUCAAGAGCGAAAGUUAAGGGUUCGAAGACGAUCAGAUACCGUCGUAGUCUUAACUAUAAAUGAUACAAACCAGGGAUAGGACACUGUCCAUCUCGACUCCUCCUGCACCUUAGAGAAAUCAGAGUCUUUGGGUUCUGGGGGGAGUAUGGUCGCAAGGCUGAAACUUAAAGGAAUUGACGGAAGGGCACACAAAGAGUGGAACCUGCGGCUUAAUUUGACUCAACACGGGAAAACUCACCAGGUCCGGAUACACGUAUGAAAGUCAAGCUGAAAGACUUUACUCAAUGAUGUAAGUGGUGGUGCAUGGUCGUUCGUAGUUCGUGGAUUGAUUUGUCUGGUCUAUUCCGAUAACGAGCGAGACCCCAACGUUCCUAAUAGGGGCUUCAGCCCGGCCGGUCGCAAGACUGGUUAGCUGUCGCUUAGGUUUGCUUCUUAGACGUAUCAGAGCCGAUAAGGUUCUUGAAAUGGGUUAAUAACAGGUCAGUCAUGCCCUUAGAUGUUCUGGGCCGCACGCGCGUUACAAUGGCAUGAAAAGAAAGUGCUUCAAAAGGCGUUUCCGGGGCCGAAAGGUCCUGGUAACCCUUAAUCCCUGCCUUGACUGGGAUAGAUCUUUGCAAUUAUUGGUCUCUAACGAGGAAUUUUUAGUAAUCGUAGGUCAUUAACCUGCGAUGAAUGCGUCCCUGCCCUUUGUACACACCGCC